CUUGUUCACUUAUGGCAGCUUCACCAUAUUGUGAAUUUUUUAAUAUACGAAGCAGGGGGGAAAAGCAGAGACUUUGGGAAUUGUGUUUUGGCUGACCAUUUCAAGGAUGGGAUAAAGUUCAUGUUUCAGAAGCAAAGAACAGAAGAUAUCAAGGAGGAGGAAGAGGAGGAGGAGGAGGAGGAAAAGAAGGAGGAAGAGGAGAAGGACAAGGGGAAGGAAGAGGAGAAAUAGGGAGGUGGAGGAGGAGGAGGAGAAGAAGAACAAGAACAAGAACAAGAAGAACAAGAACAAGAACAAGAAGAACAAGAAGAAGAAAGGAUGAUGAUGACAAUGAUUAUAAUGACAAAGGAGGAUGGAAGAGGAAGAUGAGGAUGAGGAGCUGCUGCUACUACUAUCCA
rnacentral:lncRNA from 1 species